rnacentral:rRNA from 1 species
UAGGGAAUCUUCCACAAUGGACGCGAGUCUGAUGGAGCAACGGCCGCGUGAGUGAAGAAGGUUUUCGGACCGUAAAGCUCUGUUGUUGGUGAAGAAGGAUAGAGGUAGUAACUGGCCUUUAUUUGACGGUAAUCAACCAGAAAGUCACGGCUAACUACGUGCCAGCAGCCGCGGUAAUACGUAGGUGGCAAGCGUUGUCCGGAUUUAUUGGGCGUAAAGCGAGCGCAGGCGGAAGAAUAAGUCUGAUGUGAAAGCCCUCGGCUUAACCGAGGAAUUGCAUCGGAAACUGUUUUCUUGAGUGCAGAAGAGGAGAGUAGAACUCCAUGUGUAGCGGUGGAAUGCGUAGAUAUAUGGAAGAAUACCAGUGGCGAAGGCGGCUCUCUGGUCUGCAACUGACGCUGAGGCUCGAAAGCAUGGGUAGCGAACAGGAUUAGAUACCCUGGUAGUCCAUGCCGUAAACGAUGAGUGCUAAGUGUUGGGAGGCUUCCGCCUCUCAGUGCUGCAGCUAACGCAUUAAGCACUCCGCCUGGGGGAGUACGACCGCAAGGUUGAAAC